rfam:Schistosoma margrebowiei strain Zambia genome assembly, scaffold: SMRZ_contig0003375
GCACUGCUGAGCAGUCCGACAAUAGGACGAAACGGCCGUCCAGUGC